GAUGAAAUAAUAAUUAGUAAUAAACCAAUAGCAGGAGGGGUGCAAGCAAAGCACAGGAGGGUGAUGGUACCCAAACCAUUAAUUGGGUCAGGCCCAAAACACAAUCCAAUUACCAAAACUCACUUAACUAUACUAAUCAUGUAGUUAAUCCCUAUUAACAAAUGCAUAAAGAAGAAAAGAAAAAAAACAAGUUUAGCACAAGAUUUUCUCAAACAGUCAGAAGAGGCAAGGAGUUUUUAAAGCUGGAUCACCUAAUCCAUCGCUUUAGUACCUACACAUCCCCAGCAGCACAAAUCACUCAAUGGAUCGCUUCAAAACCCACUUAUAAAUCACGUUGUUUGCAACUUUCACACUUAUGUUAACUUCCCCUGCAUCGUCCAUGUCAUGAUCGUCUCCGCCUUCAUGAUGAUGCAUCGUCGGCCACGGAACUCAGCGCAAAGAUGGUGAUGAUGAAGUUUGAAAACUUGUACUGUAUAGCUACUGGUGAUGGUUGAGUUGCAACAUUUGUUGACAGGGAUGAUUCGGUUUAAAUAUGGGGAGGUUAUGUACCAAAAAAACUUAUUCAAGCAUUAUAAUGAGUCGGGUUUGCUGGCGGUUGUAGCUGUUGGGGGUGGAAGGAGAUUUUCGGUGAGGGUUUCGUGGUGGUAGAUCGGAGAGAAAAAGGGUCGCGAUUGGGGUUUCGGUGAUGAGUGGAUGACGAAUCGAGGGUCAAGGAAGGAUGGGUGUGUAGUUAGCAGUGGUGGAGGGUUGAUUUAGGUGAAGAAGAUGAAGGUGUGAGGUGAGGUAGGGUUAAUGGAGACGGAGGAGGCGGAUGUAUGAGGGUUAGGGUUGAAGUGGGAUUUCAGCAGGGUAACAGUAUCUUUCUUCCCCUUCCUUUCAAUCGAUUUGAUCCCCCUUUUAUAGAGUGAAGUGAGUGGCAAAAUCCAUGAGCUGUCAAGAGAUCAUGAGAAUCAUUCCGUUGGAAGGAAAAUUCUCUUUAGAUUUUGUGGUCCCUGAAUGAGGUGCAUCCCAAUUCAAUGGUUGGCUCAAGGCAAAGCAGUGAGAUUUAGCAGGUUUUGUGUGAGGAUGCCAUCGUUUAUCAUUUUGUACUGUCGUUUAUAACUUGGAAUGAAUGUGCUUUGCAUGGUUGAGUGGAUUAAAUUGAAGCUAGGAGUUGAUAUCUGUUUCAGGGCUAUUUACAGGUUCAUCCCAAUGCCUGAAAUUGAUUUUAAAUGCUGCAUUUGUUCAUGACUCGGUCUGUUGAUAUGCAAUGUGUUGUUCCAGGUCCAAAGUUUGGAAUUGUUUUAACCAUGCUACCGAUCAUGACUCAAAAAGGCAUUUGGCGUGUUUGUGGUAUGCAGGUACAAGGAUAAUUUAGAAAACCAUUUUCUCACUUGGAAGUAGCAUUAGAUCAAACACGUACCAUAGCCGUCGACACACAUUAUCAAGCUUGGAGAUCAUUUCUUGUAAUACGAUCGGUCUGUUUGUGUAUAGGGCUUAAGUGUGGUUUGUGUUUUGGUGAGGUUGGGACGUCAUGUCGGUUUGGUUAUGCAAUUAGAGAAAUGGUUCUACAGGUGCUGCAUCGUGAGUAUGCAUGGUUCUUGAUACUAACCAAAUGGCCCUGCAAUGGAUUUCUAUCCUGCCAUGCGUUCGGUUAUUCGCGGCUGCCACUUUAGAUUUUUUUGAAGGAGUGUUGAUGCAUCAACGACAAUGUUGGUUAACAGGGUAGUUAGCUCAAGUUAAAGACACAGUUGCAGGUUAUAAGUCGGUUGUGAUUUACCCUUUCAGAACAAUCGGUAAGGUUGUACAUAC